UACGGAGGGGGCGAGCGUUGUUCGGAAUUACUGGGCGUAAAGGGCGCGUAGGCGGCCAACUAAGUCAGACGUGAAAUCCCUCGGCUCAACCGGGGAACUGCGUCUGAUACUGGAUGGCUUGAAUUCGGGAGAGGGAUGCGGAAUUCCAGGUGUAGCGGUGAAAUGCGUAGAUAUCUGGAGGAACACCGGUGGCGAAGGCGGCUAUCUGGACCGACAUUGACGCUGAGGCGCGAAAGCGUGGGGAGCAAACAGG
rnacentral:rRNA from 1 species